UCGGUGCGAGCCUGGGAUCCAAACCCGGGCCACCAGCAAUGGAGCGCACGCACUUAACCACUCAGCUACGAGGCCGGCCCUAUCCUACCAUUUUAAAUACUAGGUCAUCGACAAAAGUCCACAUUACUCAUUCAGUUGUGUGUUAGUGGAUCCUUUGUAGGGUGUCUUCCUAGGUACGUUUUCACAUGGUCAUCGACAAAAGUCCACAUUACUUGUUCAGUUGUGUGCUAAUGGGUUCUCCGUAGGGUGUCUUCCCGAGUACAUUUUCCAAUGUGAACUCCAGCUGAUGGCCUUGUGACACUGAUAUAAAUACUGGUGUCUCCACAGAUCAUGGGGCCAAAGAUGUGUGGUCUGUUAUGAGAGGUUCAGGGAUUCGAUCGGAGAUGUAAAAGACACUUUCCACUCCAAACAAAUGGACUGAAGAAGAAUUCUCUGCUUCCCCAGAAGAUGAGGCAGGGAGCAGCUGGGACCGGGUUCUGACCAAGGAAGGAAGGAUGCUGAGGGCACAGCUGACUCCCCUCCACUGAAUCCUUCCCCUGAUCCGUGGCCCUGAUGGGGCAACAGCGCUGGGGACUCCUGCAGUGUCUCCAUCAAUCAGCGUUGAAGUGGAACUGAGUACAUGCUUUUCAGAAGCGGCAUCAUUCUCUACUCAGCCAGAGCAUUGGGCCUGACAAUAGCUGGAUCCAGCAGAAAACUGGACACUCUAGGAGAUGUCAUGUGGAGAUGUGCCUGGCUGGACUAAUAGUCACGUGGAUAUGAUUUUUAAAAAAAUCUCUCAGAGCUUUCCUAAAAUCAAAUAAUAUUCUUCAGUUGCUUUAGUAGACGAGACAUUAGCUAGUGUCUUUUUAAUUUCCACAGAAGCUUUUUUUAUGUUACUAAAGAAACUAAACAUUAUGUCUUUUUUUUUGUUACCAAAAUGGACUUAGUAUUAAAAACAAGAAACCUACAAGAAAGGAAACACUCAUAUGGAAUAGAAAUUGUGGGUCACAGCUUUUAAUUUUAUAUAAAAUCAUGUUUUAUUUAUUUACAA